CUGGAGGCAGUGGCUCUACAGCAGCAGUGAGAGCCGAGCUGUGGCAGACACAUGCUCUUCCCCUGACUCACGGCUGCCCAGUUCCCUCCAGCGAGGCUGCUGACCUAUUUUUCUAUUAGGAACAACCAGCCAAUGUGAUAAUGAGGAAAAUGUAUUCUGGCCCCUAUGAAGUUUAGUGAAGCCCGAAUGAAGUGGAGGAGGCCACGGAGAUGCACGAGGAAGAGCAUUCCAGGCAGAGGGAACAGCGAGGACAAAAGCCCCCGGGCAGGAAUGGGUGUGCAAGCCUGAGAUCCAACAUGGCGGAGAGCAAGCCGGAAGUGCUGCGCGGGGAUCCUAAGGGAGCACUGAACAGGACAAGCUCAGUUUUGUCCCUCAAACCUCCACAAUCAGUGGAAGCUCUGAAGUUGAAUAUACAUGAGAAAAGC
rnacentral:lncRNA from 10 species